rnacentral:rRNA from 1 species
UACAGAGGUCUCAAGCGUUGUUCGGAUUCAUUGGGCGUAAAGGGUGCGUAGGUGGCGCCGUAAGUCGGGUGUGAAAUUUUCGGAGCUUAACUCCGAAACUGCAUUCGAUACUGCGGUGCUUGAGGACUGGAGAGGAGACUGGAAUUCAUGGUGUAGCAGUGAAAUGCGUAGAGAUCAUGAGGAAGACCAGUGGCGAAGGCGGGUCUCUGGACAGUUCCUGACACUGAGCACGAAGGCCAGGGGAGCAAACGGG